GAUGAAGAACGCAGCAAAAUGCGAUAAGUAAUGUGAAUUGCAGAAUUCAGUGAAUCAUCGAAUCUUUGAACGCACAUUGCGCCCGCUGGUAUUCCGGCGGGCAUGCCUGUUCGAGCGUCAUUUCAACCCUCAAACCCCCGGGUUUGGUGUUGGGGAUCGGCUCUGCCUCACGGCGGUGCCGCCCCCGAAAUACAUUGGCGGUCUCGCUGCAGCCUCCAUUGCGUAGUAGCUAACACCUCGCAACUGGAACGCGGCGCGGCCAUGCCGUAAAACCCCAACUUCUGAAUGUUGACCUCGGAUCAGGUAGGAAUACCCGCUGAACUUAAGCAUAUCAAUAAGCGGAGGA
rnacentral:misc_RNA from 1 species